rnacentral:rRNA from 1 species
GUAGGUAAUACCCGAUUAUCUCCGUGGAGACAAAGGUGUGUAUUCCGCCUGAGGAGCGGCUUAUGCGAUAUUAGCUAGUUGGGUGGGGUAAGUGGCCUACCAAGGACAAAGAUGUCGUAGGGGGUGUGAGAGCAUGGCCCCCACGACCGGAACUGAGACACUGUCCGGACACCUACGGGUGGCUGCAGUCGAGAAUCUUCCGCAAUGGACGAAAGUCUGACGGAGCGACGCCGCGUGCGGGAUGAAGGCCCUUGGGUUGUAAACCGCUGUCAGAGGGGAUGAAAUCUUCGGAGGUACUCCUCCGAAGUUGACAGAGCCUCAAAGGAAGCACGGGCUAAGUACGUG